rnacentral:lncRNA from 1 species
GAAGAGCGCUCUACCGCCGAGCCACAAUCCCAGCCCCCCAAAAUAUAUAUUCUUAACAAAGUGCCAAAAAAAAAUGCCUGGUGAGGACCUUCUUGAGGCAUCCUCACCUGGUAGAAACAGAAAUGCAAAAAGAUAUGAACACUAUGUCCUUGCAUGGCAGAAGAAUGAACCCACUCCCUUAGUCUCUGACUAUAAGGUUCCUGCUCCCUCCUGAUCCAUGAGGGUUCUGCUCUCAUGACUUAAUUGCCUCUCAAUACUAUCACAUUGGUGAUUAAGUUCCAACAUAAAAAUAUUGGGGGACAUAAUCAGACCAUAGCAAAUAUUAUGAACACCUUUAUGCCAAUAAAUUUGACAACUUACAUGAAAUGGGCAAAUUUCCACUAACUUCCAAAGUUCACUCAAGAAGAAAUAGAUACUCUGAAUAGCUCUGUAUCUAUUAAAGAAAUCAAACUUAUAAUUAAGAUCUUUCCUACAAAGAAAAUUUCACUAGAGAAUUGUGCCAAACAUUUAAGGAAGAAAAAUGUGCAAAUUCUACACAAACUCUUCCAGGAAAUUGAAAAUGAGAAAACACUUCCUAAUUAUGAGGCCAACACUAAUGUCUUUUGUGAACGUGAACAUAGAUGCAAAAACUCUCAAUAAAAUUUUUGUAAGUCAAGUCCAACAAUAUAUAAAAAUAAUAAUACAUCAUAACCAAGUGAGGUCACAGGAAGACAAAGGUCAAGCUUUUCAAAAUCAAUUAACAUAAUCUAUAUUAAUGAACUGAAAAGGAAAAACAUAUGAUCCAUUUCUGUUUUAAAGAAAACUCUCAGUUCAGGCUUGGUGGCACAUGCCUGGGGCUGGGGAAGUUGGAGCAGGAGGAGUUCAAAAAGCAAGGCUCUAAGCAACUCAAUGAGACCCUGUCUUUAAAAUACAAAAAUAGGGCUGGGGAUGUGGCU